UAGGGAAUAUUGCGCAAUGGGGGCAACCCUGACGCAGCAAUACCGCGUGAGUGAGGAAGGCCUUCGGGUUGUAAAGCUCUGUCCUUAGGGAAAAAUGAAUUGCUAUCGAAUAGAUGGUAGUUUUGAUGGUACCUGAGAAGAAAGCACCGGCUAACUUCGUGCCAGCAGCCGCGGUAAUACGAAGGGUGCAAGCGUUGUUCGGAUUUAUUGGGCGUAAAGCGCGCGCAGGCGGAUUUUUAAGUCAGGUGUGAAAUCUCGAGGCUUAACCUCGAAACAGCGCCUGAAACUGGAAGUCUUGAAUGCUGGAGAGGGAAGGGGAAUUUCUCGUGUAGGGGUAAAAUCCGUAGAUAUGAGAAGGAACACCAGAGGCGAAGGCGCCUUCCUGGCCAGAUAUUGACGC
rnacentral:rRNA from 1 species